ACAGUUCUUGUACUACUUGAUUGACUGGUAAGAAAGAGCUUCCGUAAGAACUGGAAGACUCUUGUAUGUACGGUAACCCUCUCUUCCGCUACUGGUGGACUGUUGCACAGAAAGGGCGACAGAAGCAACCUUUCUUAGCGCGCUUUUCAAGCGCUUAGCUUCUGCUAGUGGCGGGGCGGCAAGGCCAUGUUGUUCAGUUGGAAGCCUAAGCCAAGAAGGUACGAACGAAGUGACGGGCCCCUUUAGAAGAUAGGGGGCGGCUUUCUUGUGGUAGUAAAGACUAUUGCACAGAAAGGGCGACAGAAUCAACAUUUCUUAGCGCGCUUUUCAAGCAUUUAGCUUCUGCUAGUGGCGGGGCGGCAAGGCCGUGUUGUUCAGUUGGAAGCCUAAGCCAAGAAGGUACGAACGAAGUGACGGGCCCCUUUAGAAGAUAGGGGGCGGCUUUCUUGUGGUAGUAAUUGCGAACAUCUCUCCUCUUCUCUUAGCGUGCACAGUUUGCUUACAUGCCGCCUUAGGCACAUCUCUCUUUCUUAGUUUCACGCUGGACUAAUGAUAAUGAAUGAAAGUCAGUCUUUUAGUAAACGUAUAUAAGCAGCUGUUUAGUGUAUAAGCAAU
rnacentral:lncRNA from 1 species